ensembl:snRNA U6 U6 spliceosomal RNA
CUGCUUGCUUCAGUAGCACAUAUACUAAAACUGCAAUGUUGUAAGAAAACUAGUACAGCCUUUAUGCAAGGAUGACUAGUAAAUUCACAAACCAUUCCACAUUUUU